AAGUUUGACGUUGAUAUUUUAGCUGCCUCUUACCAGUCGGUGAUCACUUCCGGUAUUAAACCUAUUGAUCACAGAGACAUCUCUGAAUAUAUGACUUUGUCAGAAGCGAUAAAGUCAAUCUCAUUCCUUGUCUCAUUAUCAGGGCUUUGCCAGGUCCACUUCCUAUGGGGCUUUUUGUGGAAGAAGGUGUUCAUUAGAAAAAGCCCUUUGGAUUCGAGAAAGUUUACUAGCAUUUGCCCCCUAUGAUUUCUGCACCCAAGGCCAAAGGGGCCGAUUUCAG